UACGUAGGGUGCGAGCGUUGUCCGGAAUUAUUGGGCGUAAAGAGCUCGUAGGCGGUUUGUCACGUCUGCUGUGAAAUCCCGAGGCUCAACCCCGGGCCUGCAGUCGAUACGGGCGGACUAGAGUUCGGCAGGGGAGACUGGAAUUCCUGGUGUAGCGGUGAAAUGCGCAGAUAUCAGGAGGAACACCGGUGGCGAAGGCGGGUCUCUGGGCCGAUACUGACGCUGAGGAGCGAAAGCGUGGGGAGCGAACAGG
rnacentral:rRNA from 1 species